GGCUUCCGGCCUCCCAUUAAACCUAGAGUUUUUUCAAGGGAGGUCAUACCUGCACAAUGCCCUGCGGGGUCAAUUGCCGCGGUAGCCUGACCGUGCUAAGGUAGCGUAAUCACCAGCCUAUUAAUUGUUGGCCUGUAUCAAUGGUCCCACGCUGGAGGCUCUGUCUCUUCGAUAUUUAUUUGAAUUUAACUUUGGGGUGAAAAGGCCCUGAUAAGCCUGAAAGACGAUUAGACCCUAUCGAACUUUAGGCUAGUUAAGAACCGGGUCUGUGGAUGCGGACUCUUUUAUGAACCUUCAGUUGGGAAAACUGGGAACCAAGCAAAGCGUUCGCCUACCAUAAUCGCACAGCUUUGGGGUCCGGGAGUGGUGUGGGUAAUUUCUCACGCUAGCCCUGUCCACACUUUCAGAUAAUUGCCUACGGGAAUAUAAAGGCAUUAUAAAGGUUAAGUUUGACAACCACAAAAGUAAGUAGUCGCACUAUCCUCAGCAGUCUGGUAUCAGAUAAACUGGGCAGUAGGAAGAGUUACCGUAGGGAUAACAGCGCAAUCCCUCUGGAGAGACCACAUUAAAGGAGGGGCUUGCGACCUCGAUGUUGGCUUAAGGGCUUCCUAAAGGCGAAGAGGCUUUUAAGGGUUGGUCUGUUCGACCAUUAAAGCCUUACGU
rnacentral:rRNA from 1 species